GAUAAUUUGCAAGUGAUAUGGAUGCUGAAAUUAUUAUUUCACUUCUUCAGCAACUACCAGUGCUGUGGAACAAAUUCUGUGAUACAAGUUUCUGUUCAAAGAGAAGCAAUGGUCGCAGGUGCACGAUGUCAUCAUUGGGCAUAUUGCCACGGACUGUGUUAUUAACGGCUCAGUUACAUAAGUUUAAUAGGAAACCGAUUACUCGCGGUCGACUCGAGUUUAGAAGGGUGACACAUUUUCAUUAGGAAAAGGAUGGGAUGAAUUUGGUUGACAUCGAACAUCAUCAUACUCUACCUUCAGUACUUCAACUUAUCAGUGGUAUGCCGUGUGUUAUCAAUAUUGUCUCUAAUAAUAUCAGCCCCAGUAGACUGUCUACGAUUAUAUCUGGGUUAUUCUGGCAACCUUCUCGAUAAGGUAAAUGGUAGCUAAAGUUCUGAUUAACUACAAAGUUUCAUCGUUCCUAUUUAUUACUUUAGGUACCGGAUU